CAGCGCCGCGGGAAUACGUAGGUGGCAAGCGUUGUCCGGAAUUAUUGGGCGUAAAGGGCUCGCAGGCGGUUUCUUAAGUCUGAUGUGAAAGCCCCCGGCUCAACCGGGGAGGGUCAUUGGAAACUGGGAAACUUGAGUGCAGAAGAGGAGAGUGGAAUUCCACGUGUAGCGGUGAAAUGCGUAGAGAUGUGGAGGAACACCAGUGGCGAAGGCGACUCUCUGGUCUGUAACUGACGCUGAGGAGCGAAAGCGUGGGGAGCGAACAGGAUUAGAUACCCCGGUAGUCCCUGUCUCUUAUACA
rnacentral:rRNA from 1 species